UCAGGGUUAUACCGGAUUAUUGGGCGUAAAGCGCGCGCAGGUGGUUUCUUAAGUCUGAUGUGAAAGCAGGGGGCAACCGUGGAGGGUCAUUGGAAACUGGGAGACUUGAGUGCAGAAGAGGAAAGUGGAAUUCCAUGUGUAGCGGUGAAAUGCGUAGAGAUAUGGAGGAACACCAGUGGCGAAGGCGACUUUCUGGUCUGUAACUGACACUGAGGCGCGAAAGCGUGGGGAGCAAACAGGAUUAGAUACCCUGGUAGUCCACGCCGUAAACGAUGAGUGCUAAGUGUUAGAGGGUUUCCGCCCUUUAGUGCUGAAGUUAACGCAUUAAGCACUCCGCCUGGGGAGUACGGCCGCAAGGCUGAAACUCAAAGGAAUUGACGGA
rnacentral:rRNA from 1 species